ensembl:lncRNA
AAAUAUUCCCGUAGGGGGAAAAAAGCCCUUGGCUCAGGGUCAAAACAAGUCUAAGCUGCAUCUAUAAUAUUUUGCAUCACGCAUAGUCACAAAAACAUGAUAAACAAAUUUUACAUUAAAAGCGAAAGUGCUCUAAAUAUUCAUUCGCAUCCACUAAAAUGCAAAUGCAUUUUUUUCUGCAACGUCACGCGUGAACUUCCGGACGCGUAUCACAGAGCUGUCUCUCACUUCGAAAUACAAGGAUUUGGCUUCGCAGCAACAUCAUUGCCCCAAUAAUUGGGCAGUUCUUGUUCUCCAUCUGCUGCCAGAGUGAAGUGCUGCAGCCGCAACUUGUUGCCUCAGCCACUGAUCCCGGGGGGACACCAGAUAAAUCAGUUUGUGUGGCAAUGCACGUACAGUAUGAAACACACACUGAUGUACAGCAGAGAGCUUGUCAUAAUUAUGUUGCGUCAAUGGCGAAGCUUGUGUUGCCAAAUGUAUUCAGCCACUGUCCCAUUUCCAUUCAUUGUUUCUGGGUUCGUCUCCGGAGAGCCACCACCACCUUCUGUUGGAGAGUGAGGGAAACAGGGUCACUGCAGACCGAGGGAGAGAUGGAGAUGAGGAGGGGAAGGAGGAAACAGCAAAUAUGAAAACAGACAAUGGAUAAAGUCAGAGAGAGAUGAUGGUUAAAGGAAUAGUUCACCCAGAAAUUAAAAUGUACUCACCCUCAGGCCAUCCAAGAUGUAGAUGAGUGUAAAACAGAUUUAACAAAACAAAUGUAAUAUUAAAUCAUGACUCCAGUCCAUGAAGGAACAUCUUGUGAAUUGAAAAACUGCAUGAUUGUACAGCGUUUUAACUUUAAACCAUCACUUUUGGCCAGAAUACCAGCCCAUAAUCCAUAAUAUUCCUCCAAUUAAAAAGUUUACUUGUGGCUUAUUGUGAUGUCUUUAUCAGCUGUUUGGACUCUUAUUCUGACGGCACCCAUUCACUGCAGAGGAUCCAUUGGUGAGCAAGUGAUGUAAUGCUAAAUUUCUCGAAAUCUGUUCUGAUGAAGAAACAAACUCAUCUUGGAUGGCCUGAGAUUUCUCACAGGUCGCUAUGCCCCUUUAUGCAGCAGAUGGGAGACACCGAGAGAGAGAGGAAGGAAGAAAAACAAGAAAUGAAGACAGGAGGGAAGAUUUAUAUCAGAACCCCACUGUUAGGAUUCUCCAUCAUUGCCACAGUGACAGGUUACCUGGCAACGGGAUACACAAUGGUGCGGUAACCGUGACGACAGUGCAGUGGUCUGUCUGGCCAAAGACAAAGGUUUGAGAUGGACAGGAGAGCCUCAGACGGCAGAGAAAAGGUGAAGUGUGUGUGUGUGUGUUUGAGAGAGAGAGAGAGAGAAUCAGUCUAUUUACUUUUUUUAAACUCUCAAUAUAUCCAUUCAUGAGACUGAUAUUAUUAUUGACACAAACACACAUGGACGGACAGAGUCUCCCUCUCUUUUUAAUUCUCUCUCUCACACACACUCUGACACAGUGUAGUUUCAGUUCAAUAGCGCUUUAUUGGCAUAACUGUCAAAAUGCAAAAUGCCAUAGAAAGGCAGAGUGUAAUUAAUGAAGGUGCACGCAAACACACAGUGUGUUUAAUGUACGCUGACAGGUGGAUCUAUUGCUCUUGUCAGUGAGGUUCUCUGUAGACAUACAGACUUGAUUAAAGGGCUUGUGUUUUAUGUGAGAGUCAGUGUUGUAGUACAAAACAAACCGAGAACAAACACAGCUAUAUACACACAGACAUCUGUGUUUUAUACAUGUAAUAUGAGCAAAUUGUGUGUUUGUGUGUGUAAGCCUAUGUGUGCCAGUGAACACUCACAUAAUGGUUUUUAUGCAGGGAUAUACCAGACAAAACUAAAAGCCACAGGCCAGGAGGUUUUACAGUAUAGUGUCAAGUUCUCACACACACACACACACACACACACACACACACACACACACACACAUUUUUGCAUCAUUUUGUUAAUAUCGCUAUUGUUUCUCCUGAACACCAAAGCAAUUAAUUCAAGCAAAUGGAGACUUUUAUGUCUCAAGCUUUUGUAAGAAAAAAGACCCAG